CCAGACUCCUACGGGAGGCAGCAGUGGGGAAUAUUGCACAAUGGGGGAAACCCUGAUGCAGCGACGCCGCGUGAGUGAAGAAGUAUUUCGGUAUGUAAAGCUCUAUCAGCAGGGAAGAAAAUGACGGUACCUGACUAAGAAGCCCCGGCUAACUACGUGCCAGCAGCCGCGGUAAUACGUAGGGGGCAAGCGUUAUCCGGAUUUACUGGGUGUAAAGGGAGCGUAGACGGCAUGGCAAGUCAGAUGUGAAAGGCCGGGGCUCAACCCCGGGACUGCAUUUGAAACUGUCAGGCUGGAGUGCAGGAGAGGUAAGUGGAAUUCCUAGUGUAGCGGUGAAAUGCGUAGAUAUUAGGAGGAACACCAGUGGCGAAGGCGGCUUACUGGACUGUAACUGACGUUGAGGCUCGAAAGCGUGGGGAGCAAACAGGAUUAGAUACCCGUGUAGGA
rnacentral:rRNA from 1 species